AGUAACCUAUGGAUGCGAGAGCUGGACCAUAAGGAAGACUGAGCGAAGGAAGAGAAACGCUUUUGAACUCUGGUGUUGGAGGAAAAUUCUGAGAGUGCCUUGGACCGCAAGAAGAUCAAACCAGUCCAUACUCCAGGAAAUAAAGCCCGAUUGCUCACUGUAGGGAAGGAUAUAAAAGGCAAAGAUGAAGUAUUUUGGCCACAUCAUGAGAAGACAGGAGAGCUAGGAGAAGGCAGUGAAGCUGGGGAAAAUGGAAGGGAAAAAAGGUCGGCCAAGGGCAAGGUGGAUGGAUGGAAGUGACUGGCUUGACCUUGAAGGAGCUGGGGGUGGCCAUGGCUGGCCGACAAAGAGCUCUGGCGUGGGCUGGUCCAUGAGGUCACAAAGUGUCCAAAGUGACUGAACGAAUAAACAACAACAAAUACCGUACAUUCUGUUUAACUUUGGCAAAAGCUUGGAUUUAAACUACAGCACUAGAGCACUCAAGAAAAGAAAUCUAGGUUCUUCGUUAAACUACAAAUCUUACUAAUGACACAUACCAGCAUUCUAUAUGGCAGAAUCCUGGCAAUUAAAUGGGACCAAUCUGUUAUAAUUAUGUAGUCUGGAUGUUGAGGGAGGGAGGAAGUUUCAUUCAGGCUUAUCUUUGGAGACAGUAAAAGCUCUCAGCUAGUGUGUGUAAGUGCUUUCAGACUGGAUGCAGCUGAAACAUAGUUAUAUAUUUUAUUUAAGCUAAUUUUAUAUGCUUGGGGAAAUGUAGGGUUUAUUAUUGCCAUUAUCGCUAUUAUCAUUGCUGUCAUUAUUCUACAAAAAGUUCCUCAACUUUAUUCAGUUUAUUCCCCUCUGUGCAUUAUCUAAAUUUAAUAUUUUAAUUUAAAGGGAUGAUUAGUAUUUCCCCCAAAAAAUUAAAUGGAAUACGUGGGACAAAAGGGAAAAUGAAUUAUUUUAAAGAUCUAAUUGUUGUUUGGGGGCAGAAUUUGAAAAGGUAGAGCUUGGAUUUGAAAGUCUUCUGGGGAAAAAAAAUCUCUGUCUCUUAUAUUCCUGCCAGGAGCAGUCCUUGAAUUUCUUCCAGCUGAGAAGCUGUAGCCUCCCUACAGAAAUUUCAGGCCAGGAAACAUGUCACAAAUGGAGAUAUCGGUUUUUUUGCUUCAAUAGUUAUGUUGGGUAAAUAUUUCACUCUUUGUCACUGGUUAGACUAUCUGUUGGAAAUUCAAAGGUUGUAACCUAGUGACAGGAGACAAAAAUGAGGGCAUGCCCCCCAAUAAAAAAUUCAGAGCCCCCAGUGUAUCAGUCCCAAAAAUGUUUAGCUUAGCAAUAACUGAAAACUCAGUUGAGCAACUAGGCAUCCAAAGAAAAGGGGCAGACAGAGGAGAAGAUAAACACAGACAAUAUGAAUUCUAAGUAUGAAUGCUUUUCAGUGACUCGCUCCAUGUGUUGCUAAAAAUGUAAAGAAUGAAGGAAACUUCAUUUUGUCCCUCUUCAUAACUACAUCUCUGAACCUACUCAUAACCCUUUUUAUUCUCUCUUUCCUCCCAUCUCAACAGUGUCUCAUUCACAUAACAGUGUAUCAUUCACAAAACUGUUGAAAUCCUACCAAGUACAUUAAGACUUAUAAAUACACAAAGCCAUGAUGCCUCACAGGUAAGAUUCAAACUGUUGCUCCAUUCAAGAGAUCCAAGAUAAGAAAUCGUACAUUUUCAGUCCUCUAACAUGGAUAUAACAACCCCUUCUCCCAAACACAACAGGACAUAAUAUAGUGACCCUGGAAGGUGAUUCACGUGCAUGUUUGUGAAAUCACAUUUAUCACUGAGAGAAAUUAGCACAUUUUGAUCCUUUUCCAGUCAAAAUAGUAGAUUUGUUUUGUUCCUAGGCUUUCUCUUACAAAGAUAAGAUUAACCGUGGAUAUUUUCAUUGUCACAAAGAGGAAGAAUUUGGAGGAAAGAUAACUCUCUUUUCAUGAAAAUUAGCAUCUUUAUAAUCUUAGCAAUCAGCAUCCUGCUGGAAUCGACUUUACUGUACACAUGGAAGAUAAGGUUAUGCACAUCUGUACAGAAAUGGUAAUCUAUGACAUCUGUAUAUAUAAAUUUAUUUUUUUUCAUUUAUUUCAGACAUUUAUAUCCCGUCCUUCUCACCCUCAAGGGGGGACUCAGGGAGGCCUCACAAUCAGCAAUCAUUAGAUGCUAGAAAACAUAAUAUUUAAAACAAUUACAAUUAAACACUAUUAAACAUUAAUUUAAAACAUCCAUAUAAACAUCCAUUUAAAAAGGGCAGUAUAAAGCAAUGGUUCUCAACCUGUGGGUCCCCAGAUGUUUUGGCCUUCAACUCCCAGAAAUUCUAUCAGCUGGUAAGCUGGCUGGGACUUCUGGGAGUUGUAGGCCAAAACACCUGGAGACCCACAGGUUGAGAACCACUGAUAUAAAGUAAACUUCUUUUCUGCAUCAGGUGAAAAUGGGCGGACAGAGCUAGACAAAUUUGGAGGGGAUGGUUGGAAUUACCUGACUCAAAUACUAUAAAUUAAUCCUUGGUACAGAGUGGAUUGGCACAUUAAUUAAAAGAUUUUGACACAAUGAUCUUUUUUGCUAUAAAAUAUAAAUAAAAUGAACUUUUCUGUUUAUUACAAACAGGAGGAGAUAUUUUCAGCAGAUUUGGAGAUGUUUAGGAAAAAAUGACUUCUGGACCAUGUGUUAGGGUAUAAUGAAGCUCAAUACCAAGAAUGUAUGUUAAAGAAAAACUAUACUGCUGAUCAUAACAUGCAGGAGCUAAUUUAGGUUAGCAGUUAAGUUUGGACCACACCCGGUGGGGUGUGACUGUGUGUGUGAAUUAGCUUCUGCUCCUGCUUUUGCUUUUGGUUUUGUUUUUGCUUUUGGAUCUUUCUCUUUUGGAAGAAGAGGCUGAAGAAGCCGUGCUCUUCAUAUUGCAAUGCUUCUUGCAUCUUGAAAUGCUUACAAGGACUAUAACACUGAACAAAAUACAUCAGUGGGAAGGUGCCCGGGAUGAGGACACCCAGAAAGUGAGCAACAUGGAAAAGGAAGGCGUUGUUUCUUGUCUUUCUCAAACAUGAUCACUUCUGCUACCUUGGGCAGAUGUGACCGUGAAUCCCCAAAGACCAGCAGAUAAAAACUCUUCCUGGAGAUCGCUGGAAGCACCUUCUACAUUAUUGAGCAGAGGAAGCAGACCUGAGCAGCCCUCGGGCAAAAACAGUGUAUCAGUCCCUGUGCCAUCAGGCAUUGUGUUACCUGUCCAGAUGCAAGCUACAAGCUUUGCAGAUCAUGUGAAUGCUGUGGAUGUAGUACAUCCUGAAGGCUUUCAGCCCUCUAUGAUACAAUUGCAGGAAAGCUGCAAAACUGAGGAUUAGACGUAAUCCCCCUGCAUGGAUUCAUAAUUAUUUGAGUGGAUGUUUGGGUGGAUGCUGUUGAGGUAGUCCAGGAACUUGCUGAGUUCUUCUUCCCCAUGGCUCCAAAUGGUGGUGUCAUAAAUAUAUCUGAACCAUAUAGUAGGCUUUUUUGGUGCUGUUUCUAGGGCUUGUUUUUCAAAGUGUUCCAUGUAGAAAUUUCCUAUUGCUGUAGUAAUACAUCCAAUUCACCAGUUUACAGAAAACCUACACACAUGGAUAGAUACCUUCAUAAAAACUCCAACCAUCACCCAAGUCAAAAAAGAAGCAGAAUCAAAGCCCUGACGGACCAUGCACAAAGAAUCUGCAAACCUCAUCUCCUCCCAAGUGAACUGAACCACCUAAACUGGGCUCUCCAGGCCAGUGGAUACUCCACUACAGACACCAGAAGAGCUGUACGGCCAAGAACAAGCCAUGAGAGUCAAGACAAAGAUCCACCCAGAGGAAAAGUGUUCUUACCAUACAUCAAGGGAAUCACUGACCACAUAGGCAAGCUGAUGAAGAAACACAAUCUACAAACUAUCUACAGACCCAGUAAGAAAAUCCAACAAAUGCUACGUUCAGUGAAGGACAAGAGGGAUCCUCUCACCCCUGCAGGAGUCUACCGUAUACCAUGCAGCUGUGGACAAGUCUACAUAGGGACCACCAAACGCAGCAGCAUUGCCCAAACAUGAAUCAAGGAACAUGAAAGGCAUUGCAGACUAACUCAACCAGAGAAGUCAGCCAGAGCAGAGCAUCUGAUGAACCAACCUAGGCACAGUAUAUUAUUUGAGAACACAGAAAUGCUGGAGCACCCUCACAACCACUAUGUCAGACUACACAGAGAAGCCACUGAAAUCCACAAAUAUGUGGACAAUUUCAACAGAAAUGAGGAAACCAUGAAAAUGAACAAAAUCUGGCUACCAGUAUUAAAAAACUCAAAAAACAGAACAGUAAAUAAGGAACAACACUCUAAAAACAGGGGAAUUCCAGACAUGAAUCAAUCAGGGCCAGCUAACAACUCUGAACAAAGGAUUCCCCCAGACAGGAAGAAGCCAGGAAAUGAAGCUUGCUAGGCUAUUCAAUGUUAAUAAAGGUAAUUAAUUACAACAUUCACACUGGCCUCCAACUGACAAAAGUUCUUUCUCCCACCCUGGACCUUCCACAGAUAUAAAAACCUUCCUUUCUUAGUUUUCCCAUAUACCUCACAACCUCUGAGGAUGCCUGCCAUAGAUGUGGGCAAAACAUCAGGAGAUAAUACUUCUGGAACAUGGCC